rnacentral:tRNA from 1 species
GGAGAGAUGGCUCAGGGGUUAAGAGCACUGGCUGCUCUUCCAGAGGUCCUGAGUUCAAAUCCCAGCCACUACA